rnacentral:rRNA from 1 species
UACGUAGGGUGCAAGCGUUAAUCGGAAUUACUGGGCGUAAAGCGUGCGCAGGCGGUUUUGUAAGUCUGUCGUGAAAUCCCCGGGCUCAACCUGGGAACUGCGUUUGAUACGGUGUGGCUAGAGUUCGGGAGAGGAGAGUGGAAUUCCCAGUGUAGAGGUGAAAUUCGUAGAUAUUGGGAAGAACACCGGUGGCGAAGGCGGCUCUCUGGGACGGUACUGACGCUGAGACGCGAAAGCGUGGGAGCGAACGAGG